rnacentral:rRNA from 1 species
AGGACGAACGCUGGCGGCGUGCUUAACACAUGCAAGUCGAACGGGGUGUUUAUUUCGGUAAACACCAAGUGGCGAACGGGUGAGUAACGCGUAAGCAAUCUACCUUCAAGAGGGGGACAACAGUUGGAAACGACUGCUAAUACCGCAUAAGCCCACGACCCGGCAUCGGGUUGAGGGAAAAGGAGCAAUCCGCUUUGAGAUGGCCUCGCGUCCGAUUAGCUAGUUGGUGAGGUAACGGCCCACCAAGGCAACGAUCGGUAGCCGGACUGAGAGGUUGAACGGCCACAUUGGGACUGAGACACGGCCCAGACUCCUACGGGAGGCAGCAGGUGGGGAAUAUUGCACAAUGGGGGAAACCCUGAUGCAGCGACGCCGCGUGGAGGAAGAAGGUCUUCGGAUUGUAAACUCCUGUUGUUGAGGAAGAUAAUGACGGUACUCAACAAGGAAGUGACGGCUAACUACGUG